UACGUAGGGCGCAAGCGUUGUCCGGAAUUAUUGGGCGUAAAGAGCUCGUAGGCGGCCCGUUAAGUCGGAUGUGAAAACCCGUGGCUCAACCACGGGCCUGCAUCCGAUACUGACGGGCUCGAGGCAGGCAGGGGAGAUCGGAAUUCCUGGUGUAGCGGUGAAAUGCGCAGAUAUCAGGAGGAACACCGGUGGCGAAGGCGGAUCUCUGGGCCUGUCCUGACGCUCAGGCGCGAAAGCUAGGGGAGCAAACAGG
rnacentral:rRNA from 1 species